AAUAAACCAAAUUUUCACUUUUUACCUAUAAUUUUUGACUCUUCGUCUUAUUCAAUUUUUUUUCGAUUGAUAUUUUUGUUUUUAUUAGAUGAUAAAUUAUGAAUAGUGCUCUACGUGUGACUAAUUUUUUUUUCUAAUUUUCUAAAUUUUUUUCAAAUAAUAUGGAUAGUUAAACGUUGGACACGGAAACC
rnacentral:pre_miRNA from 1 species